GCGUUGGUGGUAAAGUGGUGAGCAUAGCUGCCUUCCAAGCAGUUGACCAGGGUUCGAUUCCCGGCCAACGCA
rnacentral:tRNA from 1 species